rnacentral:rRNA from 1 species
GUCGAACGGUGAAGCCAGCUUGCUGGGUGGAUCAGUGGCGAACGGGUGAGUAACACGUGAGCAACCUGCCCCUGACUCUGGGAUAAGCGCUGGAAACGGCGUCUAAUACUGGAUAUGUGACGUGACCGCAUGGUCUGCGUCUGGAAAGAAUUUCGGUUGGGGAUGGGCUCGCGGCCUAUCAGCUUGUUGGUGAGGUAAUGGCUCACCAAGGCGUCGACGGGUAGCCGGCCUGAGAGGGUGACCGGCCACACUGGGACUGAGACACGGCCCAGACUCCUACGGGAGGCAGCAGUGGGGAAUAUUGCACAAUGGGCGCAAGCCUGAUGCAGCAACGCCGCGUGAGGGACGACGGCCUUCGGGUUGUAAACCUCUUUUAGCAGGGAAGAAGCGAAAGUGACGGUACCUGCAGAAAAAGCGCCGGCUAACUACGUGCCAGCAGCCGCGGUAAUACGUAGGGCGCAAGCGUUAUCCGGAAUUAUUGGGCGUAAAGAGCUCGUAGGCGGUUUGUCGCGUCUGCUGUGAAAUCCGGAGGCUCAACCUCCGGCCUGCAGUGGGUACGGGCAGACUAGAGUGCGGUAGGGGAGAUUGGAAUUCCUGGUGUAGCGGUGGA